rfam:Agrilus planipennis Contig62474, whole genome shotgun sequence.
AUACAGGAUUUUCUAAAAUCCAUUGGUAAAAUAUUUUGAAUUUUAU